rnacentral:tRNA from 1 species
GCGCGCAUAGUUCAGUUGGUUAGAACGCCAUCUUCACACGGUGGAGGUCACUGGUUCGAAUCCAGUUGCGCGCACCA